AGUGAACGCUGGCGGUAGGCCUAACACAUGCAAGUCGAACGGCAGCACAGUAAGAGCUUGCUCUUACGGGUGGCGAGUGGCGGACGGGUGAGGAAUACAUCGGAAUCUACUUUUUCGUGGGGGAUAACGUAGGGAAACUUACGCUAAUACCGCAUACGACCUACGGGUGAAAGCAGGGGAUCUUCGGACCUUGCGCGAUUGAAUGAGCCGAUGUCGGAUUAGCUAGUUGGCGGGGUAAAGGCCCACCAAGGCGACGAUCCGUAGCUGGUCUGAGAGGAUGAUCAGCCACACUGGAACUGAGACACGGUCCAGACUCCUACGGGAGGCAGCAGUGGGGAAUAUUGGACAAAGGGCGCAAACCUGAUCUAGCCAUACCGCGUGGGUGAAGAAGGCCUUCGGGUUGUAAAGCCCUUUUGUUGGGAAAGAAAAGCAGCAGGUUAAUACCCCGCUGUUCUGACGGUACCCAAAGAAUAAGCACCGGCUAACUUCGUG
rnacentral:rRNA from 1 species